rnacentral:rRNA from 1 species
AACGAACGCUGGCGGCAGGCUUAACACAUGCAAGUCGAACGGGUGUAGCAAUACAUCAGUGGCAGACGGGUGAGUAACACGUGGGAACCUUCCUAGGGGUACGGAACAACUCAGGGAAACUUGAGCUAAUACCGUAUACGUCCGUGAGGAGAAAGAUUUAUCGCCCUUAGACGGGCCCGCGUCGGAUUAGCUAGUUGGUGGGGUAACGGCCUACCAAGGCGACGAUCCGUAGCUGAUCUUAGAGGAUGAUCAGCCACACUGGGACUGAGACACGGCCCAGACGCCUACGGGAGGCAGCAGUGGGGAAUCUUGGACAAUGGGCGCAAGCCUGAUCCAGCCAUGCCGCGUGAGUGAAGAAGGUCUUCGGAUUGUAAAGCUCUUUUGCCAGGGACGAUAAUGACGGUACCUGGAGAAUAAGCCCCGGCAAACUUCGUGCCAGCAGCCGCCGUAAAAC